rnacentral:rRNA from 1 species
UACGAAGGGGGCUAGCGUUGUUCGGAAUCACUGGGCGUAAAGGGCGCGUAGGCGGCCUUGUAAGUCGGGGGUGAAAGCCUGUGGCUCAACCACAGAAUUGCCUUCGAUACUGCAGGGCUUGAGACCGGAAGAGGUUAGUGGAACUGCGAGUGUAGAGGUGAAAUUCGUAGAUAUUCGCAAGAACACCAGUGGCGAAGGCGGCUGACUGGUCCGGUUCUGACGCUGAGGCGCGAAAGCGUGGGGAGCAAACAGG